UAUCAAUUAUUUUUAAAGCAUAUUAUGUGUUCAACAUACCAAAAAAAUAUAUAUUAUCAUUUCAUCAUACAAAUCCAGUUACAAACCAAUAAAACUUCUAAUACUUAUAAAUACCCGACUGAGAUCCUGAUCUCAAACCUCUUGCUGUUAUCUGAUCAGGAACUUUUUAAUAGUAUAUAUGUAUAACUGGCUGAAGUGAAUUAGCCUUUUAAAGGCAACCGUGUUAUAAGCUUCACUCAAAUACACAUGUAUUUAGAGAAUAUCAAGAAGAUAUUUAUUUCAAUGAACGCAAAAUUUAGUUGAUUUAAACAGUUUCUUUUUUCUGUGUGCUGAUUGAUUAUCAUAUUUUAUAGUGUUUUGGGUUUUGGCAAGUUUUGGGCCUCGACGACUAUCAUAUUAUGAAAAAGAACAGAAUGAAGUCACUGAUAAUAUCACAGAUGCCGAAGAAGAAAUUGUAACAGAAGAUGAUUGUCAUGAUACUAAAGAGACCAAUGCUUUCUCAGAAAGUAUACAAAACAGUUCACAGGAGUCAACUGAUAAUAUUGUCGUACAAGUGAAACCAACAGAAGCACCUAAAUCUAUACCGCCUAAAACAAGAAAACGAAAAGUGGAAAAUACAUCAGAUUCUCGUAUUGAUGAAGCAUUUGAUUUUUGAGAUGUAUGCAACGUGACGCCUGUGAAGUGUAUGGUGAACAUAUUGCCGCGAAAUUACGAACCUAUAGCACGCGAACACACUCUGUGUCUCCACAAACAGCAAAUUUAAACAACGAAGUUGAAACUACCACCCUAUUUACUAUGGUAUCACGACCAAAUUCGAAUAUACAAUCCCUCGCUGAGACAUGACUAUCAGUGAACAUUCACGUUCCAUCCUCACAAUCAGCAUCAACGUAUUUUAACAACUUCAACCCUUCCACACAUUAUUUAAAUCAGUAGCUAUAGUAGUAUGUUUUAUACACCUUCAUGUAA